UCACUUCCUGCGGAACAGCGUCAGGUGUGGCGUGUGGAGAGAGAUGAGCCGGGAAGAGUUAGAUUUGGAAUGGGCUGGGCGCAGACUUACUUACCGAUAGCACGCCAAUCCCGGCACACCUGCAGCCAUGCAAUAAAUAGCGUAAGUUAAAGGAGAAGAAUAUUGUUUGAAUUGGUGUGCUCAUGACACCAACACCAAUAAAGCAAGGAAGCGCUUCCGAGAACCAGGCUGAGCGAAACCCUUCGUCAUCACCUGGCAGGCCAUGCGCACAUCAUCGACUUCGAGAUAACCAAAAAUCGCAUGCCAAAGAGCUGGCAGGAGUUCCUUGGCUUGCUGCGCUUCCAACGAAUCACUUUGGCCGUAAGCGUGAUGCGAGGCCAUUUUGAAGGCUUCUAUGGCAGCCAACUGAUGGGAAAAGUUUAAUUUCAUUGCGUUAAACUCUGAUGUGUACCCGCACAGAAAAACGUACGGUGCAUAGUUGCCAGCCGCGAGGACAUUCUCCGGUGACUCGAUCGCUUUCGGCCCAAACAACUGCACAUCCCAGGUGCCUUGGAAGGUCCGUCAGGGUUUCGGCGUGAUGUGAGUGUGUCUCUCAGCCUCUUUUUAAGUUGUUGAGUUUUGCUAGUUUCCACCUUUGUUCAAGAACCUCGCCAGCCGUUGCUCUGACCGACACGGCCCCAUAGGCAAGUUUCGUAACCUGCCUUACCCUGCCCAACACAAACCCCAAUCAGCUUGCCAGCGUUCUGCACCAUCAGCGCUUGAUUGCGUUUUGUAUGCGUGUGCGUGUAGGCAACGCGCCCAGAAGCUUUCCAAAUCCCGCAACUCACGCCGCACAGUGUAAACGAGCCCCGCACUACGCGCCUUUUUUCCCUCUGCGUCACAUUCCACUCAGAUCAACCCGCGAAACUUGGAGCUCGUGCACACAAACGUGUGGUUGGGAGUUGGUAUUCACCGCCUGGCUGAGUUUAAAUGAUGGAGCGUUGUUUUAGGAAGGUAUGAGGAGACGAGGGUGAGGCAUGUACCGUUUCGCAACGGUGGUGAUUGGUGAUUGGUGAUAUAGUGCGAGGCCCUAUCAACUCAAAAAGGGAGAGAUAACAGUUGCCUUACAAGGUACCUGCCAGGACCUUUUAGCCUGAGCUCUAGCGACGCCAGCACUACUUUUGGGAUCGUUAGUACUAGUUUGGGAUCUGUACUAUAUAUUGGGAUCGUUGCAGGCUUGCGACCUUCCUGUCAGCAACACAGUUGACAAUAUGGAACAGGGUUGAAGAGUGUUGCCUGAAUUGAUAUCGAUUGGGUAAUACCAUGAGGGUCCCGCCUGUCCGGCCUAGAGGGGGCGUUUGCGGGUUAGAGCCCCACGAAGACGUUUGAGGUGCGUGUUCGCGCGUGUUGUAAUGUAAAGGAGGGGAUGCGGGGGACUGCUGGGCCGCAUGUAUGGGUUUGUGAAGGGUCGCAGGGGAACACAAACGCAGGCUGUGGGUUGUUAUGAAGUGUGGUGCUGACAGUUGGGCGCGCCUGAGGCAGACAUGAGACAGUGGUACUGCGGUGAAUACCGAGCACGGGUGGCAGGAGAUUUCGAUGCCCCUGGCUCAGCCAUCCUACCAUUUCGUCUGCGACUGGCGUGCUGCAAUGGAGAGGAUGAGGAUAGGACACCACCUUGUUGCCACCCCGACGACCCUGUGCAGCGGCCUCGGUAGGAUGUGGUCAUCCAGGGGGCCAUCUCCGCACUUUAACGGCUCUCCUCCAAUCUUUGCACGCGGUCGGCGAUUCCUUGCAAACCCUUGCGCUGCAAGGAUGGGAAUAUUGUGC
rnacentral:lncRNA from 1 species